rnacentral:rRNA from 1 species
CGGGGGGGGGGGCAAGCGUUGUUCGGAAUUACUGGGCGUAAAGGGCGCGUAGGCGGCCUAGCAAGUCCUUCGUGAAAUCCCAUGGGCUCAACUGUGGAACUGCGGAGGAUACUGCUAGGCUUGAGUCCGGGAGAGGGUAGUGGAAUUCCCAGUGUAGCGGUGAAAUGCGUAGAUAUUGGGAGGAACACCGGCGGCGAAGGCGGCUACCUGGACCGGUACUGACGCUGAGGCGCGAAAGCUAGGGGAGCAAACGGGAUUAGAUACCCCGGUAGUCCUAGCUGUAAACGUUGAGCACUUGGUGUGGCGGGUAUCGACCCCUGCUGUGCCGAAGCUAACGCAUUAAGUGCUCCGCCUGGGGAGUACGGUCGCAAAGGCUG